rnacentral:rRNA from 1 species
GAUGAACGCUGGCUACAGGCUUAACACAUGCAAGUCGAGGGGAAACGACGGGGAAGCUUGCUUCCCCGGGCGUCGACCGGCGCACGGGUGAGUAACGCGUAUCCAACCUGCCUCUGACUGAGGGAUAACCCGUCGAAAGUCGGCCUAAUGCCUCAUGGCAUCGUCUGCGGGCAUCCAACGACGAUUAAAGAUUUCAUCGGUCAGAGAUGGGGAUGCGUCUGAUUAGCUUGUUGGCGGGGUAACGGCCCACCAAGGCGACGAUCAGUAGGGGUUCUGAGAGGAAGGUCCCCCACAUUGGAACUGAGACACGGUCCAAACUCCUACGGGAGGCAGCAGUGAGGAAUAUUGAUCAAUGGGCGAGAGCCUGAACCAGCCAAGUAGCGUGCAGGAUGACGGCCCUAUGGGUUGUAAACUGCUUUUAUGCGGGGAUAAAGUGAGGGACGUGUCCUUCAUUGCAGGUACCGCAUGAAUAAGGACCGGCUAAUUCCGUG